GACGGAGGAUGCAAGUGUUAUCCGGAAUCACUGGGCGUAAAGCGUCUGUAGGUGGUCAAAUAAGUCAACUGUUAAAUCUUGAGGCUCAACCUCAAAAUCGCAGUCGAAACUAUUCGACUAGAGUAUAGUAGGGGUAAAGGGAAUUUCCAGUGGAGCGGUGAAAUGCGUAGAGAUUGGAAAGAACACCGAUGGCGAAGGCACUUUACUGGGCUAUUACUAACACUGAGAGACGAAAGCUAGGGUAGCAAAUAGGGG
rnacentral:rRNA from 1 species